rnacentral:rRNA from 1 species
GAUGAACGCUAGCGACAGGCUUAACACAUGCAAGUCGAGGGGCAGCACGGGAGUCGCAAUACAACUGGUGGCGACCGGCGCACGGGUGAGUAACGCGUAUGCAACCUACCUAUCAGAGGGGAAUAACCCGGCGAAAGUCGGACUAAUACCGCAUAAAGCAGGGGCACCGCAUGGUGAUAUUUGUUAAAGAAAUUGGCUGAUAGAUGGGCAUGCGUUCAAUUAGGUAGUUGGUGAGGUAACGGCUCACCAAGCCGACGAUGGAUAGGGGAACUGAGAGGUUGGUCCCCCCCACUGGUACUGAGACACGGACCAGACUCCUACGGGAGGCAGCAGUGAGGAAUAUUGGUCAAUGGGCGGGAGCCUGAACCAGCCAAGUCGCGUGAAGGAAGAAGGAUCUAUGGUUCGUAAACUUCUUUUGCAGGGGAAUAAAGUGCGGGACGUGUCCUGUUUUGUAUGUACCCUGAGAAUAAGGAUCGGCUAACUCCGUGCCAGCAGCCGCCGUAACAC